rnacentral:rRNA from 1 species
AAAGCGUGCGCAGGCGGUUAUGUAAGACAGAUGUGAAAUCCCCGGGCUCAACCUGGGAACUGCAUUAGUGACUGCAUAGCUGGAGUACGGCAGAGGGGGAUGGAAUUCCGCGUGUAGCAGUGAAAUGCGUAGAUAUGCGGAGGAACACCGAUGGCGAAGGCAAUCCCCUGGGCCUGUACUGACGCUCAUGCACGAAAGCGUGGGGAGCAAACAGGAUUAGAUACCCUUGU